ACGCACGCUGGCGGCGUGCUUAACACAUGCAAGUCGAACGGAAAGGCCCUGCUUUUGUGGGGUGCUCGAGUGGCGAACGGGUGAGUAACACGUGAGUAACCUGCCCUUGACUUUGGGAUAACUUCAGGAAACUGGGGCUAAUACCGGAUAGGAGCUCCUGCUGCAUGGUGGGGGUUGGAAAGUUUCGGCGGUUGGGGAUGGACUCGCGGCUUAUCAGCCUGUUGGUGGGGUAGUGGCUUACCAAGGCUUUGACGGGUAGCCGGCCUGAGAGGGUGACCGGCCACAUUGGGACUGAGAUACGGCCCAGACUCCUACGGGAGGCAGCAGUGGGGAAUAUUGCACAAUGGGCGGAAGCCUGAUGCAGCAACGCCGCGUGCGGGAUGACGGCCUUCGGGUUGUAAACCGCUUUCGCCUGUGACGAAGCGUGAGUGACGGUAAUGGGUAAAGAAGCACCGGCUAACUACGUG
rnacentral:rRNA from 1 species